AUGUUGCCUGCCCGGUUGGAUGAGCUAAAAAGAUCAGCUACAAGGUCAGGUGCGCUAACUGCCCUAAUCCGGGCUAAGGCAUGGAUAUCAGAUCUUGAAUCGUCGGAUAUAGGCAGUGGCUACCCUGGCGUAAAGGAGGACGGAUUAGAGUUUAACAAUGACGAUCUUCGCCAGUUGACAAGGGAAAUGCGCCCCUUAGCAAGCAAAUUGGCUGAGGAAACCGAUCUCUCUCACUAUCAGCCGGUUUAUGAUUCUGAUCAGAAAAGAUAUCCUGCGCCAACACAUGAUGUAGAAGAUCUUAUUCUGCCAAUCCGUAAGCACACCUAUGCCCCUGAUGUUGACCCCUCAAACCUUAUAAGUGAUGAAGUUGUGUUCCAAGCCUUAACUCGAAUCGAUUGGGCAACCAUUGACUUCCAGCCACUGGGUAGAGAGGAGGAAGAUGGACCAGCGUAG
rnacentral:rRNA from 1 species